UAGAGUUUGAUCCUGGCUCAGGAUGAACGCUAGCGACAGGCUUAACACAUGCAAGUCGAGGGGCAGCGGGGAGCAAGCUUGCUUGCUCUGCCGGCGACCGGCGCACGGGUGAGUAACACGUAUGGAACCUGCCCGUAGCAGGGGGAUAAACGGAAGAAAUUCCGUCUAAUACCGCGUAAUAACUCCGAGAGGCAUCUCAUGGAGUUUAAAGGGUAACACCGGCCACGGAUGGCCAUGCGGCGCAUUAGCUAGUUGGCGGGGUAACGGCCCACCAAGGCGACGAUGCGUAGGGGUUCUGAGAGGAAGGUCCCCCACACUGGUACUGAGACACGGACCAGACUCCUACGGGAGGCAGCAGUGAGGAAUAUUGGUCAAUGGGCGAGAGCCUGAACCAGCCAAGUCGCGUGAGGGAGUACUGCCCUAUGGGUUGUAAACCUCUUUUGUCGGGGAGCAAAAGCCGGACGUGUCCGUCUGUGAGAGUACCCGAAGAAAAAGCAUCGGCUAACUCCGUGCCAGCAGCCGCGGUAAUACGGAGGAUGCGAGCGUUAUCCGGAUUUAUUGGGUUUAAAGGGUGCGUAGGCGGGAUGCCAAGUCAGCGGUAAAAAAGCGGUGCUCAACGCCGUCGAGCCGUUGAAACUGGCGUUCUUGAGUGGGCGAGAAGUAUGCGGAAUGCGUGGUGUAGCGGUGAAAUGCAUAGAUAUCACGCAGAACUCCGAUUGCGAAGGCAGCAUACCGGCGCUCAACUGACGCUCAUGCACGAAAGUGUGGGUAUCGAACAGGAUUAGAUACCCUGGUAGUCCACACAGUAAACGAUGAAUACUAAUUGUUCGGGGAGAAUGAUCCCUGAGUGAUACAGCGAAAGCGUUAAGUAUUCCACCUGGGGAGUACGCCGGCAACGGUGAAACUCAAAGGAAUUGACGGGGGCCCGCACAAGCGGAGGAACAUGUGGUUUAAUUCGAUGAUACGCGAGGAACCUUACCCGGGCUCAAACGCCGAAGGGACAUUCCCCGAAAGGGGACUGGCCAGCAAUGGUCUUCGGCGAGGUGCUGCAUGGUUGUCGUCAGCUCGUGCCGUGAGGUGUCGGCUUAAGUGCCAUAACGAGCGCAACCCCCACCGACAGUUGCUAACUGGUCAAGCAGAGGACUCUGUCGGGACUGCCGGCGCAAGCUGCGAGGAAGGCGGGGAUGACGUCAAAUCAGCACGGCCCUUACGUCCGGGGCGACACACGUGUUACAAUGGCAGGUACAGCGGGAUGCCAUGGGGCGACCCAGAGCGGAACCCGAAAACCUGUCUCAGUUCGGAUUGGAGUCUGCAACCCGACUCCAUGAAGCUGGAUUCGCUAGUAAUCGCGCAUCAGCCACGGCGCGGUGAAUACGUUCCCGGGCCUUGUACACACCGCCCGUCAAGCCAUGGAAGCCGGGAGUGCCUGAAGUGCGUGAGCGCAAGCAGCGCCCUAGGGUAAAACCGGUGACUGGGGCUAAGUCGUAAUCAAGGUAGCCGUA
rnacentral:rRNA from 1 species